CCUACGGGUGGCAGCAGUGAGGAAUAUUGGGCAAUGGACGCAAGUCUGAACCAGCCACGCCGCGUGCAGGAAGACGGCUCUCUGAGUUGUAAACUGCUUUUGGACGAGGGAAAACGCAGAUACGUGUAUCUGUCUAAAAGUAUCGUACGAAUAAGGAUCGGCUAACGCCGUGCCAGCAGCCGCGGUAAUACGGAGGAUUCAAGCGUUAUCCGGAUUUAUUGGGUUGAAAGGGUGCGUAGGCGGUCGUAUAAGUUAGAGGUGAAAUCCCGAGGCUCAACUUCGGGAUUGCCUCUGAUACUGUUCGGCUAGAGAGUAGUAGCGGUAAGCGGAAUGUAUGGUGUAGCGGUGAAAUGCGUAGAGAU
rnacentral:rRNA from 1 species